rnacentral:rRNA from 1 species
AGCGAACGCUGGCGGCAGGCCUAACACAUGCAAGUCGAACGGACCCUUCGGGGUUAGUGGCGGACGGGUGAGUAACACGUGGGAACGUGCCCUUUGGUUCGGAACAACUCAGGGAAACUUGAGCUAAUACCGAAUGUGCCCUUCGGGGGAAAGAUUUAUCGCCAUUGGAGCGGCCCGCGUCUGAUUAGCUAGUUGGUGGGGUAACGGCCUACCAAGGCUACGAUCAGUAGCUGGUCUGAGAGGAUGAUCAGCCACAUUGGGACUGAGACACGGCCCAAACUCCUACGGGAGGCAGCAGUGGGGAAUCUUGCGCAAUGGGCGAAAGCCUGACGCAGCCAUGCCGCGUGAAUGAUGAAGGUCUUAGGAUUGUAAAAUUCUUUCACCGGGGACGAUAAUGACGGUACCCGGAGAAGAAGCCCCGGCUAACUUCGUGCCAGCCGCCGCCGUAAUAC